GCUCCCGGCGUACGGCAGAACAUAUACUAAAAUUGGAACGAUACAGAGAAGAUUAGCAUGGCCCCUGCGCAAGGAUGAUUUUGGUAAUAAAAUUCAAUGAUUU